CCGGCUCAGAGACUAUGGCUCACGGGCCCAGCCGCUCCACGGCAUGUGGGAUCAUCCCAGACCGGGGCACGAACCUGCGUCCCCUGCAUCAGCAGGCGGACUCUCAACCACUGUGCCACCAGGGAAGCCCGAUUCUCAUCUUUUGAUACAGGUCUUCUAUGUGUACAGAUGAGGAAAGUAAGGACAAGAAAGCCAAAUAAUUUCCCAGUGAUCACCCAAUUAAGUAAAUGUGGGAACUGGUAUUUGGUCUUAGGCUGUCUGAUUCCUGUAUUUUUUGCCAUGGCUUGUUUUGUGUAUGAAAUUCUUGUGAAAGUCUAAUUAAAUGUAUUUUUUAAGUAUGCUCUGAAAACUUAGAUUUGCAAAUGUAAAAUGACACAAGCACUUUAAGAAACCAUUAAGGGUCAGAAAGCAGAUGCUACCUGACAUUCUCUAUGAUCAGUAAUGGAAGGUAUAUAAAUAUUUAAAAAGUGCAUUAAGACUCAGUUUCAAGUGACAAAAACCCAACUCAAAAUAGUUAAAGAAAGAGGAGAGUUUAUUGGCAGGUGGAUGUAAGGAAGGCUGAAAAACCAAGAUGGUGCCAAGAUUCAGGUACACCACCUAGGUGGGGUCUCAGACAGUGACUGUGAUUGGCCAAGCCACGGGGGGUGAGGCGGGGAGUGGUGGCCUGGAUAUGGGUGGGUAGAAUAAGGUCAUGUGGUGCAAACUGGGUCUUCUUGCGGUAACAACAGAACCAUGGGAAGGUAGUUCUCAGAGAGUGUGUGGGAGUGUGGUUAAACUAUCCCAUCCAUGUCUACAAAGACAGUGGAGAAGCUAGGAAAUUUCCUUAAGAAACGUUUUCUAAGAAAUGUUGUCAAAAGUACAGGCCUAAAUUGAACGGUGAGAAAUGUUCUCAUUUGAUAAGGCAUUUCUAGACCAGGCAAGGCAUGAUAGGCUCCUGACAUUAAUUAUAAUUCUACUCAUGUGGUUCUGUACUCUUGCAAACAAAUAUUAAUAACAGAGUUUUGAAAAGUAAAACUUUCCCUGACAUUGAAGCAGAUAUAAGACACAAUGAGGCAAAAGAAAAAGCUAUGACUAGCCAAAACAAGAGAGAAAAAUCUUGUAAGAAGUAAUGAAAUGAGGACAUACUAUUUGAAUCAAAAUUAACUCAAAGUUAAGAAAUUCAGGGUGAGGGAGAAAGUAGCUUUCUACUCAGGCCUGGAGCACACUGAGGGUAAGUUUCGGCUUUGAGAUGGUAUUUAUCUUAACUUUUUUUUUUUUGCGGUACGCGGGCCUCUCACUGUUGUGGCCUCUCCCAUUGCAGAGCACAGGCUCCGGACGCACAGGCUUAGCGGCCAUGGCUCACAGGCCCAGCCGCUCCACGGCAUGUGGGAUCUUCCCGGACCGGGGCACGAACCUGUGUCCCCUGCAUCGGCAGGCGGACUCUCAACCACUGCGCCACCAGAGAAGCCCUCUUAACUUCUUUUGAAGCUGACUCUUGUGGAGUGGCUAGUUCAUUAAUCCUGGCAGCAAGGCAGCUCUCUUUCAUGAAGUUAUUUAUGUUCCUUUGCCAUCCUCCCGGACUGGCCCACCAUUGUGGGGUAGAAGCUUCAUGGCAAAACAACAGGUGAGUUUAAGCCGGUGGAACAGGGGCCGACCCAGCAUGCAGGGCAAGGAGGUCUUCAGUUGAAGGUGGACUGAAGUCAUACACUUCACCUCUGCUCAUAUCCUGUUGGCUUGAACCUGGUCAGAGUCUGUUAUGGACUGAAUGUUUGUGUCCUCUUCAAAUUCCUUAUUGAAGCCCUAACCCCUAAAUGUGGCUGUACUUGCAGAUGGGGCCUCUCAGGAAGUAAUUAAGGUUAAAUGAAGUUAAUAGGGUGGGACCCUGAUCCAAUAGGACUAUGUCCUUGUAGGAAGAGAUAGCAGAGAGCUUUCUAUCUGCACACACAGGAAAGGCCAUAUGGAAACACAGCAAGAAGACCGGCCAUUUACUAGGCUGGGAGAGGUCUCACCAGGAACAGAAUAAGCUGGAAUCCUGAUCUUGGACUUCAGAUCUGUGAGAAAAUAAAUUCAUGUUGCUUAA